AUAACCGAAGCCCCGAUGAAGGGCGGCCGUAACUAUGACGGUCCUAAGGUAGCGAAAUUCCUUGUCGGGUAAGUUCCGACCCGCAUGAAUAGCGUAAUCACAUGGGCUCUGUCUCAACGAAGGACUCGGCGAAACUUAAUUCGAGGUGAAGAUGCCUCGUCCCCGCGGGUAGGCGGAAAGACCCUAUGAACCUUUACUGCAGCAUAUUAUUGGGUUUAGGUAUGCUCUGUGUAGAAUAGGUGGGAGGCUUCGAGGCCGGGGCGCCAGCUCCGGCAGAGCCGUAAGUGAAAUACCACCCUUGCGGCAUCGGAAUUCUAACUGUGUCCCGUGAAUCCGGGCGCAGGACAGUGUGAGGCGGGCAGUUUGACUGGGGCGGUUCCCUCCCAAAGAGUAACGGAGGGGUUCAAAGGUACCCUCAGCACGGUUGGCAAUCGUGCGUCGAGUGCAAAGGCAGAAGGGUGCUUAACUGAAAGACCUACAAGUCGAUCAGGCACGAAAGUGGGACUUAGUGAUCCGGCGGUUGUGUGUGGAAAUGCCGUCGCUCAUCGGAUAAAAGGUACUCCGGGGAUAACAGGCUGAUCGCGCCCAAGCGUCCAUAGCGACGGCGCGGUUUGGCACCUCGAUGUCGGCUCAUCGCAUCCUGGGGCUGGAAAAGGUCCCAAGGGUUUGGCUGUUCGCCAAUUAAUAGCGGUACGUGAGCUGGGUUUAAAACGUCGUGAGACAGUUUGGUCCCUAUCUGCCAUGGGCGUAGGACACUUGAGAGGAGCUAUCCAUAGUACGAGAGGACCUGGAUGGACGGACCCCUGGUGAAUCGGUUGUCGUGCCAACGGCAUAGCCGAGUAGCCACGUCCGGAACGGAUAACCGCUGAAAGCAUCUAAGCGGGAAGCCGGCCUCAAGACAAGGUGUCCCGGCGCAAGCCCUAAAGACCACUCGUAGACUACGAGUUUGAUAGGCCGGGUGUGGAAGCACGGUAACGUGCGGAGCUAACCGGUACUAAUCGGUCGUGAGGCUUGACCUA
rnacentral:rRNA from 1 species